CCUACGGGUGGCAGCAGUGGGGGAUAUUGCACAAUGGGGGAAACCCUGAUGCAGCGACGCCGCGUGGGUGAAGAAGUAUUUCGGUAUGUAAAGCCCUAUCAGCAGGGAAGAAAGAAGACGGUACCUGACUAAGAAGCCCCGGCUAACUACGUGCCAGCAGCCGCGGUAAUACGUAGGGGGCGAGCGUUAUCCGGAUUCACUGGGUGUAAAGGGAGCGUAGACGGCCGUGCAAGCCAGGAGUGAAAGCCCGGGGCCCAACCCCGGGACUGCUCUUGGAACUGUGGGGCGAGAGUGCGGGAGGGGGAGGCGGAAUUGCGGGGGUAGCGGUGAAGUGGGUAGAUAUCAGGAGGAACACGGGCGGCGAGGGCGGCCUGCUGGACCCCGACUGCCG
rnacentral:rRNA from 1 species